GGCCGGUUGUGUAACAAGUCAUUUUCUUCGACUCUCUCUCCGCCUCCCUCCUUCCCUCCCCACUACCCUCUUCAUCUUCUUCUACUCCUUCGCCAUCCUCUCCACCACCAGCCCAGGAGCCACCACCCACCGUGCCAAGCACCGCCAUCCUCUUCCCUGAAAAAAUUCGCCUUGUUUCACUUUAGCUGCCAUGAGAUCGUCAUCGUUGCCGUUCUCAGCUGCGUCCAUAGUUGUGAUUUGUCAAGUUCUAUUUUCCCUGUUCUUUGAUCAAAAGCUUUGAAGAGCUGGAAUCGCGGUUGCAGAUCGUUCAAUAGAUUUCGAUCCUAAUUGCCAUUCACGUUGCUGGUCGUUGUUUGUUGCUGUCCGUCGCCGUUCAUUGCUCUUAUCAAGGGAAGUGAUCGAGAAUUUGAACGCGCAUCCGGUUGCCAGAUCGAGCGAAAGAACUGCAGACGAAAGCAUGGCGGUAGAGAAGGUAACAGAAUUGGAGGAGAGAGAUCCGACGUCCGUAGAGCCCGAACAGAGAAAACCAUGGGAAAGGCAAGGACAGGAGGAGGGUCAUGUGCCAGAUGAAAUAUAAAGCUUUUGGAUUGUUGGUUUUCCGCUUCCGCCUUUGCUACGCAAGCCUGACCACUUGAAGGCGGGACUCGAACCCACCAAUCUGACAGCAGUUUUAGUUCAACGUUCGGAAAAAUUGAAGUUUCAUUCUCUUAGAAUUGUCCACGCCUUUGUCUGAAACCAUCGUUUGAUGAAAUGCAGGAUGCACUCUCUGCUCGCGGCGCCAAUAUAGGAGAUUUGCAACAUCAGCAAAUCAAUGCGUCGAUGAGCUUGUGAAGAUAGGACUUGAUGGAACGCAACAGGCCGGCGUUUAUGUUCAUGUCCCGGAUGAUCUAGCCAGGAUUUUGGAACUCAUUAUGAAUGGGUUCUGGACAACUGUGUUUUCUGCAAAAGCUUGAGUUCGCCUCUGAAAAAUCAAGCAAAAAAUCUUCUAAUGAAGAGCAAUUUCAUUUUA